ACAUGCCUACAACAUAGUGUUAAUGCACUGGAUCCCAUUAGAACUCCACAGUUAAGCGUGCUCAGGCUAGAGUAGUAUUGGGAUGGGUGACCGCUCUAGAAGUCCUAGUGUUUUACAUGCC
rfam:Picea glauca, whole genome shotgun sequence.